AUGUUUUGGCUGCUGUUUCGGCUGCCUAGAAUCUAUAGUUGCUGUCCUAGUGAUAAACAAACUAAAAGAAAUCAAUCACCAUCCCACAGCAUGCUCUAUGAGUUUCA
rnacentral:lncRNA from 1 species